AUCUAGGCAAUGAUUGGAAGCAGUAAAUAGCUUGUAUACUUUUAGAGAGCCAGUGGGUGGUGCAAACUGGCAGAUACAACUGUUGAACUCGUCCAUGAGCUACGACCUGAAAUUAGAGUAGGGAAGUCGGAAGUCUCCGUUAAAAGACUGGCAAAUGAUUUGUCGUUAAGUGGAAUGUUUCAGCAAUGGACAUUCAAUUUAGAGUGGUACCGCGAGUUUAACCUCGUCUCUAUG
rnacentral:ncRNA from 1 species